UGAGAUUUGGUCAUGGGCGGGAGCCUGACCAGCCAAGUCGCGUGAAGGAUGAAGGUCUUAUGGAUUGUAAACUUCUUUUAUAGGGGAAUAACGGCUAGCACGUGUGCUAGAUUGAAUGUACCCUAUGAAUAAGCAUCGGCUAACUCCGUGCCAGCAGCCGCGGUAAUACGGAGGAUGCGAGCGUUAUCCGGAUUUAUUGGGUUUAAAGGGUCGUAGGUGGCUUGUUAAGUCAGCGGUGAAAGGUUCGAGCUCAACUUGGACAUUGCCCGUUGAAACUUGGCGAGCUUGAGUCGUAGAUGAGGUAGGCCGGAAUGCAUGGUGUAGCCGGUGAAAUGCUUAGAUAUCAUGCAGAACUCCGAUUGCAAGGCAGCUUACUAAGGUACAACUGACACUGAAGCACGA
rnacentral:rRNA from 1 species